rnacentral:misc_RNA from 1 species
GGGAGCGAUGGUGGCGUGGGGUCUGUGCAUGUUGAGGCCGGAUAAGGUGCGGGCGCUGGUGAACCUUAGCGUGGCAUACGAGCCUCGGAACCCCGCUGUGAAGCCCGUGAAGGCACUCAGGAUGCUCUAUGGGGAUGAUUACUAUAUUUGCAGAUUCCAGGAACCCGGAGAAGCGGAAGCAGAAUUUGCUCGUCUUGGUUUUGCAUUGGUACUCAGAAAGUUGCUAACUUAUCGCUCUCCAGGCCCUCUUUUUAUACCAAAGGAAGGCUGGGAUUCGCCUGACGCCCAAAUACUGUUGCCUUCUUGGUUGUCUGAGGAAGACAUUGACUAUUAUGCCAGCAAAUUUGAGAAGUCUGGUUUUACGGGUGC